ACAUCUUUUGAUGUGUGCUAACGCAGAGACUAGCAUGGAAGCACGCAGAUCCAACCCUACCGGAGGAGGUCGCUUCCCGAUCCUCCCCAUUCUGACCUAUUUUCGCCUCAGAAUUUGUAUUCCAAUCCCCGUCGUUGCGCUCGCUCCGCGAACGGCCGUGCUCCGCCUCUGGCCUGGUCCCCGAUCCCCGUCGCUGCUCUGGUGGCCGUUGGAACUGCGGGCAGACUGCAGGGGCUUGGGCCCUGGGCGCAUCGCAGUGCCGACUCUGCUCCGCCGCGCAUCAGAAGUUCAAUCCCCGCCGCCCUUGCUCCGGCUCCGGUCGUGUUCCGCAUCUGGCUAGGUUUCGUCGAUCCCACCGUCGCGCUCGUCGACCAUCACUCGAACUGAGUGGAGACGGGAAGGGAGCAUCGCACCAGGCGUCUAAUCCCCGCCGCGCACUGGCUCCGGCUUUGUCCGUGGUCCGCCUCCCACCAGUUCAGAACAAAGGGUUAUUCCCUGGUGAAAGAAUAUUGCAACAAUUUAACUAAAUAAGAUUGCAGGCUCCGAUCUUGUUCUCUGUUUCCUGUGAUAAGGUGAAUGUUACUACACUUCUUUUGCCUAAUAAAUGUAUACUUCCUCAUACUUGUUUUAUUGCCUUCACCGACAAGGUUAAUGCAAUCACCUAGGUUGCAGGUUUCAAUGCAUAAAGUUCUAAUCCACAAUUAGUUUUUCUGUAAGAUAGAAUAUAUAACUGUAUGGGUAAUUGUACACAUAUUAUGUGAAAAUUAUCCUUUGGAGUUUCCUUCUGGUUCAUUAAGUUGAUCUGAACUGGCUUGGUACAGUCAUAGUUGCCAUUUUGUUAAGAGUCGAGGACAAUUCUUUCUGUAUGUUCUAGCUAAUGACUUGGAGAAGCAAAUUUUAGUAAAUAUAUAUGGUGGAGCAAGUUAAAUUAAUUAUUAUCUAACACAUUCUUUUACCUGACAUUAACAGAGUCAUGUAAUGCUAUAAUGUGUGGCAGCAGUAGUAAAUAUAUGUGGUUCCUCUAAGGUUAGAUCUCACGGUAGUGUCGAGUCCUACAUGUGUACUAACAAAUCAUAAUUUAUAUGACACAUGGAGUUUUAGUAAUAUGUGAAUAUAGUACCUAACAGAGAGUUCAAUCUAUAUAUUGUAGGAAGCUUCUUACAUAUUUUUAUGCUUUACAAGCCUGCAAGUAUAUAGUGCUGCUAUACUAUAACAUGAAAGUUCAGCCUUGUUGUACACGCUGCAGGGUUGUAUGUAGCAGAUAAUUUCUUUUAGACGGUCAUGCCACGGCAUCAAAGUCAAUGCACCGCUAAGGGAAAGCAAGGUCCCUACGUCGCCCCUUGAGCUUAUGUUAUGUAGAACAAUAUAUUCGCAUAAUUCUGAAAAUCUUACCUACUUAUAUGACUUUAAUAGUAAGAUUGAGCUGCAAUGGUUCCUCAAAUAUAAAACUUGUCAGAGAGGCAUUGGACCAGUGAACUGAUGUGUUAGCUAUGAUGAGGAAGGCGCUGAUCGACAGCCCCUAAUUAGGAAAAAUCCAGGUUUCAUCUUUUGUUUAGUGUCUUGGCUGUUGCAGGUAUGUAAGUUUAACAAAUAUUCUAGAUUACUUGCUUACAUGGUGUUACUUCUUUUCAUAACUAUUAGCUGCAAGAAAUGUCCUACUAUUAAGGCAGUAUAUUUUGCAGUGGCUCUAAAUACGGCGGUGCAGCCACGAGAAGACAGAGGUAUGCAUGUGUGGAUCGGCAUGCGUCGGCUGGUUUGCAAUGUUACACCUUACUAGACUGCCAUAGCAGUGUGAUUCAGAUGUAAGUGAUUGUGGCAUCUCAUGUUUCAAUCAGGUUUUGAAGGUAACAUGUCAGUGUUUAGUUUUGUAUCUGAGUCUAUUAGAUUUUAAGAAAGGAAAUAAACAGAGGUAUUAUGUAUUCGGAACAGAGCCAAUUAGAUUGCAUAUCUAAACAUGAUUUUGCAUACUUAUACUAUGGUAGUAUAAACAAUUGGCAAGAGUCGUUUAGUUAGCUGUUUUCCUAUGAAUCAAUAUUUUUGUGAGCUCCGGUUUUGGUUGUAGGCACUACUAAGUCCCCUUCUUAGUUAAUGCUUCAUUUCGGAAUCGCAUGGUUUGGCUAUAACAUAGGAGCUUGUUUUGCAUUACUAAAUUCUGGAUGAUUGAGGAAGAAUCCACACUUUUUUUAUUGAGGUAGUCAUGGCUAUAGCUUAUUUAUCACAAUUUCAUUUAUCCCAGGACUACCUGGUGGCAAAGAAAAGAAAGUUGACUAUACUCUCAAUUUGGCAUGUAGGAAGGCAGAAGGCAUAAGAUUUUGUAUAUAGGUUUUUUAUGUGUCCCUUGUUUUUUCUUUCAUGCUUGUGUAACUGUAACCCUGAACCUAAUUAUGACUCAUGACGCACUUGAUAAUUACAUUGCAUUGAUGAUUCUUCUUUA